ACAAAAACAACAGCUACAACUAAAACAACAGCAACAAUAACAACUAUCAAUUACAUCACCUAUACACUGACUACAAAACCUCGAAAAGAUUCACUCAUCAUAGCCAAUUUUUGACAAACCUGCCACUAAGCUGGUAGAUAUGUUGGCAAGGUAUGGGCCCUGCUAAAAGAUGUGAUACUUUUAACCACUCUUGGCCAGCGAAAAAGUGCGAUAUUAUAAUCUCCCUCCUAUUCGCAUCCUUUAUUUAUCAUAUUCGCAAUUUCCGUUACAGGCAUUGUCAUAUGAUCCAGGCCAUUAUAGCCUUCCUUGCGUAAGGGCUGCUUGGGUUCUCACUUCUUACGCAUGUGACAACUCUCGUGAGCAUAAUGGUUACAACUCUCCAGCGCGUGCGCCAAGUGAUAAUCAAACAACUCGUGAGAUCAACAAUAUUGUACAACCACCCGGGCAAUAAAUUAGAAUCACUCUGAAGCAUGCAUGACGGUGAUCCUUGUUCAUCCGAUUUUAUUUAGCGAGGACUCACGCUCAAGUCUAAGUGACAGAUUGAAGGGAGAUAAUUCAUUACUUCAUCUAAUGAUUGGUAAAGAAGUUCCCUUGACGUUAGGCAGUCGGUGCUACAUGGAUUUAACACAAGACAUGAAAACCUCGUUGUGCCGCCAGCCUCGCUGUACCGCAAACUUCAUGCUCGUCCCAAGGUAGGUGGUAUAACGGGGUAUGACUGUAUUCUGAAGCAUGAACUUUCAAUUUCCAUUAAGAUCGCUGUGGGUGGGUCAAACAAAGGCAUGUACAUGGGUUUCUAUGCUAUUUCCACUCGCUCUGCAUGCACAAAAUAGCCGGGCCAAGGUGGCAAAGGGCCAUCACGACAGGCGGGCGUCCAAUUGUACGCACUUAGGGCACUAGGGGUCUCCCAGGAAGAUCGUCUGCAUAAUGAUUGUGUCCACCGGCCAGUGCGUGUGACUCUCAGCGAUCUCCCCUCCCAGCGAUGGAGGCUGUUCCGGUAUCGAUUUUGUGCCUUGUGCGUGCCAGUUGGGAUUUUGCCAUCCCACGCACCCAUAUUCCCCCACUCCCAUUUUUUUUCUGUCCUCCCCUUCCCCCUCUUCCACCCCAACACGAUCCAGGACACGUUUCUGUUUAGUUUCCUUAUUUAUUCUUUUUUUCUGGGAAGCUGUCAGUCUCUAUCGCUGCUUUGUUUUCGUAUGUGACUACCGAGAGCCAAAACGAG